GAUGAACGCUGGCGGCGUGCCUAAUACAUGCAAGUCGAGCGAACAGACGAGGAGCUUGCUCCUCUGACGUUAGCGGCGGACGGGUGAGUAACACGUGUAUAACCUACCUAUAAGACUGGGAUAACUUCGGGAAACCGGAGCUAAUACCGGAUAAUAUAUUGAACCGCAUGGUUCAUUAGUGAAAGACGGUGUUGCUGUCACUAAUAGAUGGAUCCGCGCCGCAUUAGCUAGUUGGUAAGGUAACGGCUUACCAAGGCAACGAUGCGUAGCCGACCUGAGAGGGUGAUCGGCCACACUGGAACGGAGACACGGUCCAGACUCCUACGGGAGGCAGCAGUAGGGAAUCUUCCGCAAUGGGCGAAAGCCUGACGGAGCAACGCCGCGUGAGUGAUGAAGGUCUUCGGAUCGUAAAACUCUGUUAUUAGGGAAGAACAAAUGUGUAAGUAACUAUGCACGUCUUGACGGUACCUAAUCAGAAAGCCACGGCUAACUACGUG
rnacentral:rRNA from 1 species